GUAUGAAAUGAUGGUCUACCAUCUUUCGGGACUGACUUCUCAUGGAGAUAUUUGUUUCUAAAAAACAUAACUGAUCAUAC
rnacentral:snoRNA from 1 species